GGAGAGGUGGCCGAGUGGUUUAAGGCGCACGCUUGGAAAGCGUGUGGGGGGAAACCCCUCGCAGGUUCGAAUCCUGUCCUCUCCGCCA
rnacentral:tRNA from 1 species